UGAGGACAGUAUUUGUAUUACUUUGAGAGACGAUUUCUGUUUUCUAUAAAAGGAGAGCUGGCAUCCAAUCUGUCCUGGAAAGAAGAGGAGAGCUACGGCUGUGGAAUGCUGUUGGCAGGCAGCAGAAACAGAAGCAGUGAGGAAAGUCCCGCCUACCGAGGGGUUAAAACUGUCAUUCCACGGAAGCCAUGUGUCUUUUUGCGUCGAAGCUGUGACGGCUACUGAUGCGACCUCGCUGGUUGGUGAUCAUCUUCUCUUUCAGGGAACCAGGGUUAUGACGGCUAACACGUUCCGGAGCUGUCACCAAGGACCAGCACAAACCCGGAACAGCACUUCACUUGUAUCAUGAAGAAACUGUAUUUGCACCACGAGCACUAAUUCAGGCACUAAACUGACUUGUGUAUGUGUUUUGUGUUUUGUGUGGGUGUAUAAUAAAUGGUAUUGACUAUUAUUUCUGGACAAACCCGGGGAUUACAAAUUACUUAACAUCAUUUAUUGUUUACUGUUUGU